rnacentral:lncRNA from 1 species
CGGGGUGGUCAGAAUGGUUCUACCAGUUUGCACAGGAAGACGUUACUUAAGGCUGCUUUCCAAAGCAGUGAAAAAAUAAGUCAGAACAGCUGUGCUGAUGGCUGGGACUCUCUCAGGACAGCUUGGAAGGCCCGACCUGGCAGCUCUCUGGGCCCACCGGAGCUCUCCUGCCUUGUCUUGUACCUGCCUCUCUGUGCUCCAGCCACACUGCCAUCUCUCCGUUUCUCAAAUGCUACGUAAAGCCGCAUUCUCUUCCCACAGAUAGAAAAUGCUGUGCUCGCCCUUGAAAAGCCUCUCUCUCCAAUGAAUUCCCACUCAUUCCUCAA